GCACAAAGACGUUCAGUGAUCUCACUGCCUGCAAGGAAGGAACCUGCUGUAGGUUUGACCUGUGCUACCCCACCCCCAUGUCUGCCCUUGACCAACUUGUCAGUAUCCCCUUUCUUACCCCACAGCAUCAGGUUCCUUCCCCACAGGCCCCUGAACACUGGGUCGCCCCCAAGUUUGAACAACCCUGAGAUUUGCAACAAGCCCCUGGUCUGCUUCACCAGAGAACAGUCCUACCAUGGGGCGCUGUCCAGUCCAGGCACAUUGGUCCCGCAGUCAGAGCAGUGCCCUCGCUCGCCCAGUUUGCCUCCUGCUCAACCUCUUCACAAAAGAGAAAAGCCUUUUUCUGUGCGAUUGGAGACGCUGGCACAUCUCUGGGAUGGGAGCCUCGGCCCUAUCGCCACCGUAUUUGCAAUACGAGUCCCCGUGAUACGUGUAGGCUUGACUUUUUCUGUCAGGUCCAGGGCGGAUCCCCUUCAACCCUCAGCACAUGACCAUCCUCAGCCUUUCCUGACUCGGACCCCCACACCGCCAAACACAUUGUCAGGACGGCCUGAGCCAACCCUAGGCCAAGGUCGUAAACUUGAGUCCUUAGGAAGGCCGGGGAGUCGGUGGGGGUCAGGACGCCAGGACCCCACCCCACGGCUGAGGGGGACACUCAGGUCUGGACCCCAGGAUAGCACCGCAGGACCCAGACCUGCAGCUGAGGCGGAGGUUCUGGUCAGGACAGUACUCGGUGUCCCCACCACGUGGCUGAGGGGGAGACUCUGCUUGGGAUCCCCACGGGGGUGGGGAGAAGGAUAUCCCGGCCUGCCCACCCACCCCCCUUUCAGCAGACUGGGAUCAGCCUUUUCUUUGUUCCAUCCCAGGAAGCGCACACACCAUCUCUGUCUCCUUUCCAGUUCUCUGAAGCGUCUUCACCGCCCAGCAACCAGGGCAAGUAAGAAUCUCCAGGAAGAAACACCUGAGGCCUCUCAGGAUAACUUCCCACAAGCACCUGGUCAGCUGAGAGCAAAACCUUUGGUGGGGCCUCCAGAGAGUAUCCUAAGCUGA
rnacentral:lncRNA from 1 species